rnacentral:lncRNA from 1 species
UCCUUCUUUCGGCCAUUAUGAAUAAUGCUGCUGUGAACAUCUGUGUGCAAGUUUUUGUGUGAGGACAUGUUUCCAAUUCUCUCCUGUGUAUACUAGGAGUCGGACUGCUGGGUCAUUAGGCAACCCUUUGUUUAACUUUUGAGGAACUACCAAACUGUUUUUCAAAGUGGCUGUGCCCUUCUACAUUGCCAUAAAUGUGAGUUUUUAGAACAAGAACAAGGAAGAACAUGUUCGUGGGCCAAAUGGAUGUGUUUAUUCUUGAGACAUCUCAGCCAUAUUUGGAACAAGCUGAAAAACACCUCAGCACUGUCCAGCAGAACUUUCUGUGAUGAUGAAAACGUUCUAAAUCUGUGCAGUCCAAUAUGGCAGUCACUAGCCACACGUAGCUGUUUAACACUUGCAAGGUGACUCCUGUGGCCAAGGAACUGCAUUUUUAAUUUUAAUUAAUUUAAAUAUGAUUACACUCAUGUGUCCAGUGGCUACUGUAUCUGAUAGCACAGUACUUAUUCUCUCCUGUGUGUAAAGACUGACAGUACCCAAGAGGUCCCCAUAAAGUUAUCGGAGAAGUGAUCCACCUUCUAGGAUGCACCUUGCAACUCCAAGUUAGCUCUUGUCACAGACAACACAGAGAAGAAAUUCAGAGAUUGUGAUGCGUUAAAUCAGAAUUGUACCACAUUGAAAUUCAGGUAACUCCCAACUUUUGCAGAGUUAUGCUUGGAAAGCUGGCAUUUCAUGUAUCUCCUUUUAGCUCACCAGUUUAAAGAACUGUCUUUGUAUUGUUUUGUUUCUUUGUACAAGAGCAAUUCAUGCUCACUACAGAGAAGCAGGAAAAGAAAAUAAAAACUACCACAGAUAAUUGCUGCUAAAAUCUUGAGGGGGAGUGUGUGUGUAUGUGUAAGUGUGUGUAUAUGCAUGUGUGUGUAUGCAUUUGUGUGUGUGUAUAUAUACUGUUAAAGAAAAUGUUAUUUAAUGAUCCUUCUUAAAGCACAGUAAAGAAGACUUUAUUUAGAACCAUUGAGACAGGUAUAGGAACUACUGCAAUGGGCUGUGCAGUGGGGGAGACAAACUGGGCUCAACUAUGAAUAUAGAAUAAGCAAGAGGGAAUUUAUGGCCAAGGAGCAGGGUUGGGGGCAGUGGAUGGAAAAUUACUAAGAGAAAACAUCAGGAGUAAGGGUGAUUCUGGCUAAACCGAACUAACAGGGUUCUUGCUGAAGGCAGGCCAGGGUAAUCACAUGUCACUUGGAGGGGGGAUACUGGAGGAUAAGAGGCCUGAUCAGAUAUUGAGAGUGAUUAGAUAUUGAGGUUGAUUAGAUAUCGAUGUGGGUGGUUCUUUCUGAACUGACUCACCAUGGUUCUUCCUAAAACUGGGUUUUACAAAGAAGUGCACAGAUAAGUCUAGAAGAAGAUUCAGGAGCUAGACUAAAGUUUGGUCAAGCAAAGUCUUUGCCAGUACACACAGAAUUCAACUAUAUUUCAGCUUUGGUAGAAGAGCAGAAGUGACAUUGGAAUCGAUCUUUUUCCACCCUCACAGUUCCUCUUCACAGCUCUGAUCAGAUUUCAUUCACUUACUGAGUUGUCCCUGUGCCAGGCCCAUGCUAGGUGAGACCCAGUCUCCCGGGAGAGAUGGACAUCAAGAAGCCCAGUGUGACAAGGCUCUGAUGGGCAUGGAGUGAGGACAGAGAUCGCACAAGAGAGACAGUAGCCACUGCCUGGGGAAUCGUGGAAGAUGGCAAAGGAGACAUUAAAUUUGAGCUGGAGGAACUCACAGUGCACAGGAGAGAAGGAAGGGUGUUACAGGCAGAGGGAAUUGCACUGGCAAAGGCUUGGGGCAUGAUAGAGCCAGGUGUGUUCAGGGAAGGGAGACUGCUCCUGUGUGGCUGGAGGAGCAACAGCAGGGGCCACGUGUGAUUGCCUGCCUUACUGGCUAUUAAUUCUCUUAUCACCCCAACGAGGUAAGUAAAAUGUCAUCUCUGUCUUACAGGCAGAAAAAAUGAGAGCUGAGAGAACUUAAGUAACUUGCCUGAGGUUGCACAGCUAGUGAGGGACAGGGCUGAGAUUCUGAUCUGUUUGAGCACAAAGCCCUAUCUUGGGAGAUGGGGUAGGUUAGAUUCCAAUUGUGAAGAGUCUUUUCUGUCACACUCAGAAGUUCAGAAGUCACCCUGGGGUAAUUCAGCAGGGUACCAGCUUGAGCAGAUCUGUGCUCUAGGAAGAUCUUUGCAAAGACAAUUUGUAAGCAGGUCAGCAAUUUACCUUGGGCUGAACUAUCCUCAGUGCAUUGUGUGCGCGCGCGCGCGCACACACACACACACACACACACACACACACACACACACACACACUCUCUCUCUCUCUCUCUCUCUCUCUCCUUCAAAGAAAGGAGCCUCUGAGAAUCCAGCACUCUUUGUUUCCCUCUUCCUUCUCAAAUGAAAACCAGUAGCUCUGAGUUCUAUGUUUAUUCCAGAUCACAGUGGAAGAAGACUGGAGGGGCUGGGGACACUGCCCCUUGCUGAGGGACCUUGGACUAAUCGCUUCUCACAUGGCUUCAGUUUUCUUAUCUGUAAAAUGAAAUUCUUGGCAUUUCCACCUUUACAUGCCCUUUCCAUCUUUAAAAUUGUCUGAUUCCUAAGAGUGGUGGGACCUAUUAAGGGAUUUCACUCUGGCCACAUACUGUGACUUUUGGAAAGCUAAGAUAGUUUCGGACUGGCUGCCCCCAAAUUUAGAUAGAGUCUCUUAGCAUUUCCUGCAUAAGGCCAGAGACUGGAUUUUCUAGGCAUCGCUGAGGACUUAAGAGUCUUCUUUGGUUUUCAGGCUAGGCCAAUGGCCGCAAAUAACCUAAUUAGGACCUCGCAAGCAGCUUGCCCAGUGAAAGCUAAUUUAAUUAGGGUCUUAUUAGUUGUUAUAACUACUUUUCAAUGAAGCUUUAUUACAUUCAACUAUGCAAAUCCUAAGCAAUUGUAUUAAAUGCUGGCAAAUGACCCAUUAGUCUUUGAUUUCACUUCUUUUUUUGCAUUGUUCACAUCUAUCCUGAGAUUCAGAUGCCUGUAGUUCAUUUUUCCUCUUUGAAGCCAGGUGCAGCCUUGAAGGCAUAUUUUCUGUUCUAGUCUCAUUACCCAUUCUCUGGGAUUCCCCAUCCACUUACGCUAAUGAUUUGAUAUUGGAGUGAUAUGUGGGGUGGAGAAAGGCUAGGAAAUCUCUCCCCAGUGGUCUUCCAUAUUCCCUAACGUUUCCAUCAUUAAUCACUCCAUGGUUGGAAGACUUUGAGGAUAAGGGCCCCUGGUUGAAAUGCAGAUGUCAUUUUGGAGGCAAAUGCAGAAAACCAUUAUUAUGAAUUAACACCUGAGGAUUAGCUCAUCAUAUUAGCUAAUUGGUCAAUACAAGAUACUUCAACAGAAUGGAUUCUGGAUGGAGUUUUGAUAGUUGCUGGUGUGUAGAGGAGGAUGAAAGAAAACCAAGAGUUAAUUCGUUUCUGCUGUGCAACAGUCACUGGGCUAGAUAUGUUCACAUAUAUUAUCUCAUUUAAUUCUUUUAACAACCUUGAUAUGAAUGUAUUAUUAUCACUGAUAAUAAGAAGAGAAGAGUCAGCUUCAAAAUCACACAGCUAGUAAGAGGAAAAGCCUAGGAGAGCACUGAGGUGUGGGAAGCUUUGGCCUCCAGUGGGGCAGUGUCAUGACCUGGGGGGUUAACAACUUCAGAGGAUUGCCUGAGGCCAGGCAAACCCCAGGACCAGUGACUAUGGGUCACUAAAGACAAACUUGACAGGGCUCACAACUUGGCCUGAGCAGUGCUGAUCUCUUUUGUUCUGUUUCUUUUCAUCCUCAAUGGGCAGUGUGAUGUCAUAGUAUGAUGUCAUCAUUAAGAGACUAGGAUCUGGGCCAGGCAUGGUGGCUCACCCCUGUAAUCCCAGCAUUUUGGGAGGCCGACGUGGGAGGAUCACGAGGUCAGGAGUUCGAGACUAGCUUGGCCAACACGGUGAGACCCCGUCUCUACUAAAAUGCAAAAAAUUAGCCGGGCACGUGGUGCGCGCCUGUAGUCCCAGGUACUCGGGAGGCUGAGGCAGGAGAAUUGCUUGAAACUGGCAGGCAGAAGUUGCAGUGAACCGAGCUCGCACCAUUGCACUCCAGCCUGAGCAACAUGGUGAGACUCCUGAGACUCUGUCUCAAAAAAAAAAAACAAAAAAACAAAAGAGAGGCUAGGAUCUGGCAUGAGGCCGACUGAGAUUCACAUAUCCUGGUUCCAGCCUUUUUGUGCAGGAUUUGUCAUCUAUAACAAGUUUCUGGGUGAUGUCAAUGCUGCUGCGCUGAGGACCCCACUUGAAGACCCGCUGGAUAAGGCCACUCACAGUGGAUGCUCUCUGACAACACAGUCAGCAGCUCCAGGACAGAGUGUUCCAAGUCCACCUGAGCCUGGGGUGAGUCAGAGAAGCAGAGCUCUGGCUGUUUUCCUCUUUCCCAUUUUCUACCCUGCCUCUGUGGCUUCCUGAGUCCUUGAGAGCCAGUCCUUGUGAACAGGGGCCAAAAAUAUUCUCUUAAUUUUGAUGCCUUAUUUAUUUAUUUACAGCCACGCCAGUUCCUGGGCCUGCUUAGGUUGAAGGGAUUUUUUUUUUUGUGGUUUGAAUAAACUAAUUUUUGGCUAAAAGCACUGA